AAAGGGGAGCAAUCCCUGAGUAAAGUGGCGUACGGGUGAGUAACACGUGGGUAAUCUACCUUUUGGUGGGGGAUAACCUUGGGAAACCGGGGCUAAUACCGCAUAAUCUCGCAAGAGCAAAGGAGCAAUUCGCCGAAAGAAGAGCCCGCGGCUGAUUAGCUAGUUGGUAGGGUAAUGGCCUACCAAGGCUUUGAUCGGUAGCCGGCCUGAGAGGGCACACGGCCACACUGGCACUGAAACACGGGCCAGACUCCUACGGGAGGCAGCAGUGGGGAAUCUUGCACAAUGGGGGAAACCCUGAUGCAGCGACGCCGCGUGAGCGAUGAAGCCUUUCGGGGUGUAAAGCUCUUUCGACAGGAACGAUAAUGACGGUACCUGGAGAAGAAGCUGCGGCUAACUACGUGCCAGCAGCCGCGGUAAUACGUAGGCAGCAAGCGUUGUUCGGAGUUACUGGGCGUAAAGAGUGCGUAGGCGGUCCUAUAAGUUCCGUGUGAAAUCUCCCGGCUCAACUGGGAGGGUGCGCGGAAGACUGUAGGGCUUGAGUGUGGGAGAGGUAAGCGGAAUUCCUGGUGUAGCGGUGAAAUGCGUAGAUAUCAGGAGGAACACCUGUGGUGUAGACAGCUUACUGGACCAUAACUGACGCUGAGGCACGAAAGCGUGGGUAGCAAACAGGAUUAGAUACCCUGGUAGUCCACGCCCUAAACGAUGCAUACUUGGUGUGAGCCAUUCAUUUGGUUCGUGCCGGAGCUAACGCGUUAAGUAUGCCGCCUGGGGAGUACGGUCGCAAGGCUGAAACUCAAA
rnacentral:rRNA from 1 species